GUGCUCAUCUCAAAUCCUGUAUUUAAACAAUCCGGGCCUGCACGUCAUGUAGCCAUUGUACUGUGAGCCGUUGAUACAAGUACUCACUCGCACGCAUAGACAGUAGAGAUGAUGCAGUUUAUGUGGAUCGCAGUUUGUUGCUUCAUGUUGAUUGCGGGUCAGAGUCUAGAAACACGACCCUCCUACUGCAGCAUGAAGGCCGACAGAGGGACGUGUACGGCUAUCGGCAUGCGAGUGUUCUACAACGCCAAGACCGGCUACUGCGAGAGGUUCUUCUACAAGCGGCUGUGGCGGCAACAGAACAAUUUCUUCACCAGACGGGAGUGUAUGGACAAAUGUAAGGCCAAGCGUAACGGCUGAGGGGAUGUGACGAACGUGACGAAGGAUGGGAUGUGACAACCGUGAGGGCUGAUGGGAUGUGACAAAAGUGACGGCUGAGGGGAUGUGACAAAUUAAAAGGCUAUUCUCCAGCCGUUGGGGUAACGUCAUAGUGGAGAUCUGUCACCAAAAUUGUGACUUAGUCUCCACUCUGUGUUCUUUACCUACGUUUUACAAAAUGUUAUCUCUUUUAGGUAUAUUUUCCCUAAUAAGAUUUUUUUUUCGUUUAGGCAUCACAUUCCAAGACGGUUUAAGUACCCAAUUUAUGUUCAAAAUACCUUAACAAAUUCUUUUUCGUUAAAAUAUUUUCAAAAUUAUUAAUAAAUAAUAAAAAUAUAUACAAUAUUCAACGUUUUUAUGUUAUAAGUUAGAGAGAUAUUUAAAUUCAUUAUUUGUCCUUAACACGAUUCUUAUUUAAAAGAUUUAACUAAAGAACAAACCUGCCACUAAA